rnacentral:rRNA from 1 species
UAAAGCGAGCGUAGGUGGCUUGAUAAGUCAGAUGUGAAAGCCCCGGGCUUAACCUGGGAACGGCAUCUGAUACUGUUAGGCUAGAGUAGGUGAGAGGAAGGUAGAAUUCCAGGUGUAGCGGUGAAAUGCGUAGAGAUCUGGAGGAAUACCGAUGGCGAAGGCAGCCUUCUGGCGUCAUACUGACACUGAGGUUCGAAAGCGUGGGUAGCAAACAGGAUUAGAUACCCUGGUAGUCCACGCCGUAAACGAUGUCUACUAGUCGUUGGGUCCCUUGAGGACUUAGUGACGCAGCUAACGCAAUAAGUAGACCGCCUGGGGAGUACGGCCGCAAGGUUAAAACUCAAAUGAAUUGACGGGGGCCCGCACAAGCGGUGGAGCAUGUGGUUUAAUUCGAUGCAACGCGAAGAACCUUACCUGGUCUUGACAUAUCUAGAAUCCUGCAGAGAUGCGGGAGUGCCUUCGGGAAUUAGAAUACAGGUGCUGCAUGGCUGUCGUCAGCUCGUGUCGUGAGAUGUUGGGUUAAGUCCCGCAACGAGCGCAACCCUUGUCCUUAGUUACCAGCGGUUUGGCCGGGAACUCUAAGGAUACUGCCAGUGACAAACUGGAGGAAGGCGGGGACGACGUCAAGUCAUCGUGGCCCUUACGACCAGGGCUACACACGUGCUACAAUGGUAGGUACAGAGGGCAGCUACACAGCGAUGUGAUGCGAAUCUCAAAAAGCCUAUCGUAGUCCAGAUUGGAGUCUGCAACUCGACUCCAUGAAGUAGGAAUCGCUAGUAAUC